CAUAUCUGGUACAAAGGCAAGUCUGGGGAGCCCUAAACUUUCUCCUAAUACAGAUCAAAAAAGUUAUGGUCUAAAGUCCCAGGGUACAGUCUUCUGGUGUACCAAGAAACUGUCCUAGCUACCUAAGCAGGUGAAGAACAAGGCACAGAAUUCAAACCUGCCUCUUUCCUAAGAAGUCUCAUAACUCCUUGCUACCAGGAGUUUUUCUGCUUCUCCCUGGGUCUUGACCAGUUCUCCUUUGGAAACUCUCAAGGAUCCAUUAAUAAGUCUCUGCUACAACUUGUCUACUCCAGUUCUUUCUUCUCUUAUUGGGGUGGACUCACCUCUGAGAAGUCGCUAGGGUCAGCACUCCUGGCCUUGGAUAGCUAAGAGGUUCUUCUUAAAAGGAGUGUUGACACCAGGCAAAAACUAGAAAAGUCAAAGAGGAAGACGCACUGGAGAGAACCAGGUGGAGGCAGCACUGUGAGCCUUUGGGGUGAGGAAAGUCAGGGCAAGUAAGCAUCAGAAGAGCAAAGUAAGGCAGUCAUGUAGGGCAGAGCAUGGGCAGAGUCUGAUCAAGCCUCCUGGCCCUUACCUGGGCAGGAUAGCCGUCUUUUGUCUAUGAGCUGUGCCCACCUGAGCUCUGUGUUGAUCUCCACCGUGAGCUUAUAUGUGCUAACUUACCAAACUAAAUUAAGGAGUGCCUGGACCUGUGGACAUCCCAAAUCACAUUAAGAACACUUGACACUGGAGCUUAUCAACAUCACCAUAUACAACCCCCUCACCUAAGACCCAUAAAAGGAGGAGCCUCUCCAAGACUGGACAUGGUGGCACCCUGAUUCUGUCACCAGGUCACUUACCAGGAAAAUCACCACAGCGACAAAGCUUGAAUUUUCUUUUCCAUUGGGUUUCAGCAAAGCACUUUUUCUCCUGCCUGUGAUAACCAUGCAUGGCCCACUCCAAGCUGACACUCUGAAACUGUCAGUCUAGACCCUCUGUUUUGACAACUUUAUGGGACUGGCUCAUUAAAAUCUUAUUUCUGAGUUGGGCACAGUGGCACACAUCUGUAAUCCCAGAGGCUAGGGAGGCUGAGGAAGGAGGAUCGAAAGUUCAAACCCAGCCUCAGCAAAAGCAAGGCGCUAUGGAUUGGGGUUGCCUCGAAUGUGUGAAUUCCAUCCUCAGUACCACAUAUAAAUAAAUAAAGGUAUUGUGUCCAUCUACAACUUAAAAAAAAAAACUGGAAAAAAGAAUGGCAAUUUGAGUCUUUCUGUGGCAUAUAUGUGUGUAUAUAAUUUCAU